GACGAACGCUGGCGGCGCGCUUAACACAUGCAAGUCGAGCGAGAACCAGCCCUUCGGGCUGGGACAGCGGCGAACGGGUGAGUAACACGUGGGUAAUCUGCCCUCGGCACCGGGAUAGCCCGGGGAAACCCGGAUUAAUACCGGAUGGCCUUUUGAGCCCUCGGGCUUGAAAGGAAAGGUAGCUUUGGCCUCUGGCCGAGGAUGAGCCCGCGGCCGAUUAGCUCGUUGGUGAGGUAAUGGCNCACCAAGGCGACGAUCGGUAGCUGGUCUGAGAGGACGAUCAGCCACACUGGGACUGAGACACGGCCCAGACUCCUACGGGAGGGCAGCAGUGGGGAAUCUUGCGCAAUGGGCGAAAGCCUGACGCAGCGACGCCGUGUGCGGGAAGAAGGCCU
rnacentral:rRNA from 1 species